rnacentral:rRNA from 1 species
GACGAACGCUGGCGGCGUGCUUAACACAUGCAAGUCGAACGGAAAGGCCCUUCGGGGUACUCGAGUGGCGAACGGGUGGGUAACACGUGGGUGAUCUGCUCUGCACUUUGGGAUAAGCCUGGGAAACUGGGUCUAAUACCGAAUAGGACCACGCGCUUCAUGGUGUGUGGGGGAAAGCUUUUGCGGUGUGGGAUGGGCCCGCGGCCUAUCAGCUUGUUGGUGGGGUAAUGGCCUACCAAGGCGACGACGGGUAGCCGGCCUGAGAGGGUGACCGGGCACACUGGGACUGAGAUACGGCCCAGACUCCUACGUGAGGCAGCAGUGGGGAAUAUUGCACAAUGGGCGCAAGCCUGAUGCAGCGACGCCGGGUGAGUGAUGACGGCCUUCGGGUUGUAAACCUCUUUCAAUAGGGACGAAGCGGAAGUGACGGUACCUAUAGAAGAAGCACCGGCUAACUACGUG